rnacentral:rRNA from 1 species
GACGAACGCUGGCGGCGUGCUUAACACAUGCAAGUCGAACGGUGAACCUCUUCGGAGGGGAUCAGUGGCGAACGGGUGAGUAACACGUGGGCAACCUGCCCCCGGCUCUGGGAUAACUCCAAGAAAUUGGGGCUAAUGCCGGAUGUUCACCGCUUCCCGCAUGGGUGGUGGUGGAAAGGGUUUCCGGCUGGGGAUGGGCCCGCGGCCUAUCAGCUUGUUGGUGGGGUAGUGGCCUACCAAGGCGACGACGGGUAGCCGGCCUGAGAGGGUGACCGGCCACACUGGGACUGAGACACGGCCCAGACUCCUACGGGAGGCAGCAGUGGGGAAUAUUGCGCAAUGGGCGGAAGCCUGACGCAGCGACGCCGCGUGGGGGAUGACGGCCUUCGGGUUGUAAACCUCUUUCAGCAGGGACGGAGCGCAAGUGACGGUACCUGCAGAAGAAGCACCGGCCAACUACGUG